rnacentral:tRNA from 1 species
GUCCCCGUAGCUCAGUGGAUAGAGCAUCGCCCUCCGGAGGCGAGUGCGUAGGUUCGAUUCCUAUCGGGGACG